CCUACGGGAGGCAGCAGUGAGGAAUAUUGGUCAAUGGCCGCAAGUCUGAACCAGCCAUGCCGCGUGAAGGACGACGGUUCCAUGCGUUGUAAACUUCUUUUGUAAGAGGGCAAAAGCAGAUUCGAGUACCUGUCCGAGAGUAUUUUACGAAAAAGGAUCGGCUAACUCCGUGCCAGCAGCCGCGGUAAUACGGAGGAUUCGAGCGUUAUCCGGAUUUAUUGGGUUUAAAGGGUGCGUAGGCGGUCUGUUAAGUUAGAGGUUAAAGCCCGAGGCUCAACUUCGGCGGUGCCUCUGAUACUGUUCGGCUAGAGAUUAGGAGCGGUAUGCGGAAUGUACGGUGUAGCGGUGAAAUGCUUAGAGAUCAGACAGAACACCGAUUGCGAAGGCAGCUUACC
rnacentral:rRNA from 1 species